ACGUCAAAUCUUAUCUCCUUAUUAGUUUACACUUAGUGCAUUUUGAAAUUAUCUUUGAUGACUUAUAUUAACCGUUUCCAUUCUCUCAUUCUUCUUCUUUGCUUUCUUCACAAUCUCGCUGUUACUAUUCAUCUUCUUCCCCAUCAUUCUCCUUGCCAUUGUUUGCUUUACUGCAGAGAAAACUUCUCUCCGUUCAUCUUCUUUCUACUCAAUGGCAUCCUCUUAUCAACAAAGCCCUUCCAUGGAGCAACAAGAUGCUUCCACCAACACUGAUAGGAGCACCCAAAUCCCAGCAUCUACAGUGACGACUGUUACGAACAGAGGACAAAGCUAGCUAUGCUAAACUACACUAAUGGUUACCUUCGUAAUUCUUCCUUCCUUCUUAUUUCAUUACUGCCAUAUUUAUAAUGAUUUCAACAAAAGAUAAUAUAUGGCAUUCCAAAUGGCCAUAACAGAAAGGAAAAUAUCCUAAUUACAGAGUGAGAUGAAGUUUGUUAUAACAGAAAGGUAUUUUGGGGCAAUAACAGAAUUAGUGGAGUGAGUGGUGGAAUAUCCUGAAGUUGGUGCCCAUGCUGUUUAUCCUACACUUGAGUCAUAGCAGCGUUGCUAUCAACGACGCAGAGAGAAAGGGGCUUUGAAUUAAUACUUAUUCCUGGUCAUGAAGAGGAACGCAAAAAGUAUGCGAAACACAGUGUUUAAGGUAAUGGAUGAGGCUGUCGAAAUCAUGGAUACCCUUGGGAAAAUGGAACAUAUAGUUGGCCCUUUGUGGCUUGUUAUACUUUUGUUAAAUGCGAUUUUGGCCAAUCAUAUAACUCUCGAAAGAGAGAUUCCAGAUGACAUCGAACUCAAGAUUGAAGCAGCUCAAUUGAUUUUCCUGACACCCAGCAAGGAGUUUUAUACUUGUGAGUGUUAUAGCAAGUACAUUAAAGCAUUUCUUCAAUUCGAGCAUUUCAA